AGCUCCAAUAGCGUAUAUUAAAGUUGCUGCAGUUAAAAAGCUCGUAGUUGGUCUGACCCCCCAACGUGAGGUAUUCGUCUCCGGGUGCACUUCAUUGGGUGCUCGUGAGGGGCCUCGUAGUUACUGUGAAAAAAUUAGAGUGUUCAAAGCAGGCUCAUAUGUUCGGAUAGUCGUGCAUGGAAUAACUGAAUACGUGACUGGCGCUUUUCAGUUGGUCUCGGCGACUGGUCAAAUGAUUAAGAGGGACUGCCGGGGGCAUUGGUAUGGCGGGGUUAGAGGUGAAAUUCUUGGAUCCUCGCCAGACCAACAAAAGCGAAAGCAUUUGCCAAGAAUGUCUUCA
rnacentral:rRNA from 1 species